rnacentral:ncRNA from 1 species
GCCAGUGAGAUACUGGAGGAAGGUGGGGAUGACGUCAAGUCCGCAUGGCCCUUAUGGGCUGGGCCACACACGUGCUACAAUGGCAAUGACAAUGGGAAGCAAGGCUGUAAGGCGGAGCGAAUCCGGAAAGAUUGCCUCAGUUCGGAUUGUUCUCUGCGACUCGGGAACAUGAAGUUGAAAUCGCUAGUAAUCGCGGAUCAGCAUGCCGCGGUGAAUAUGUACCCGGGCCCUGUACACACCGCCCGUCACACCCUGGGAAUUGGUUUCGCCCGAAGCAUCGGACCAAUGAUCACCCAUGACUUCUGUGUACCACUAG